rnacentral:lncRNA from 10 species
UGGGAACAAUGGAAAACGAGGAUAGGAAAAGUAAGAUGAGGAAAUUCUGGUUCUCAAUGACACCAGCAUCAUUACUGAUUUGCUUUCUACUCACACACAAAUAGCCUCCAAAUAAGAAUGCCAACACUAUCACCAAAAAGGCCUGCAGCUUUCAUAAGAAGGCAGGAGUUUUUGGAGGAGAGCGUCGUGUUCGUCUGUCUGUAGACCCUGAGACACUGAUUUACAGCAAGACUCACGGUGACAAGGAACGUAAAAGACACCUUCUUGGGAUGGAAGC